AUUUUUUUUUGUAGAUAUCCGAUAAAAUUGAAAUGAUACGGAGAAGAUUAGCAUGGACCCUUCGCAAGGAUGACCCGCACAAAUCGAGAACUCUAGUUGAUUAAG